UGAAUUUAUUGUUUUUUCAUUCAGUGGGUGGAGAAUCCAGAAAUUUUACUAAAGUACUUCAUAAUAAAAUUACUCAAGUAAAAGGAAAAAGUACAGCACAGUUAAAAUACUCGUAUAUAUAUAUAUAUAUAUAUAUAUAUAUAUUUCAAAGAGUUACUUAAAUAAAUGUAAUUGAGCAAAGGUAAAUAGUUACUACCCAACUCUGCGUAUAAAUGGCUUGUUGAAUUCCUGUCUUGUAAUAAUUGUACAGUGAAGUCACAAAAUUGAACUUACAAAUUUACAAUUAAGUCUAAACAGCUUUAUUUUCCUAUAAUCUUUGAAAAAACGAAAGCGAAAAACCCAACCAAAGGAAUCAAAUAACCCAUAAGAUCAACAGCAUUUUGUGGAUGUUCAGUAAAUAUCAGCUGAUAAUGUCCAGAGUGUGACUAAUUCUCAACUGUUCGUCAUAACCUCUUUGUUUGGCUCUCUUCCUGAGUCUUACAGUGAAUUGUAUGAACAGCUUGGUGACGCACCAGGUGUCACAUGAUGUAAACAUGUGACACCUGGUGUCACUGUGAACUGAACUGUGAAUUAUGUGGAUAUCAGGUGAAGAUUUCUUGGUAUGACUCAAUGUUGUUUGAAGAGUGUCUUAAUUUGUUUAAAGAUGUUUUUAUUGGAGGUGAUUUUAGAAUGUGGACUUUCAGGGCCACAAAACCCCCAAUGAACUGCAGGCAGUGGUUCUUGUUCAGAAAAAUGAGGUAAUUGCCCCGACAUCAGAAUGGACUAAUGUGAACAUCCAAAAGUGGAUAAGCUAUUUGUGUACUGCAUUUCCACUAUCACAGUGGACAUUAGCUUUAACCAAAUUUUUUAGCAAGGUGUAAUUAGAAACUGUCGGUGGAUGAACUGUAUUUGCUAGAUUAGUAAUAGGUAGCAGGACAGAACUGAAGUGAAAAUGCGAACUAAACAUGAGUGAACAGCAGCAACAAAAAUCUAAUUAAUGUAGGUAAUGGAGGAAAUUUCAAGAAAUAAGCAAAGAAUAGUAAAUGGUUUACAUUUAUCAUUCUUUUGAGCCACUUAAAGAAUCAAGCUCUGUUCAAACACUGAAAACACCUAAUUGAAAUUCAAACAUUUUCAAGGAUUUCAAGCAUUUGUAUGAAUCCUGUAAUACAAAAUAACCAAGGUCUAUUAAAGUAAAUAGUGAGGGGUGUAUUUCCUUUUCAGUUUUUGAAAAAGCAUAAUUAAAAAAAAGAUAAAUCUUAUGAAUUUCCAAAACAAGAUUGAAACAAAAUAGUUUAUGAAAUAUGUUAAAUGUACUGCUUUAAAAAAACGAUAGUCUUUGCAGAAUGAACUCCCAAGUCAUGAAGCAUUAAGGGAGAUAGAAGGAGAGAAAGUUCUGUUAUUUCUGGACAACUGAGCCCAGCUGAAUGCCAGCUGCACCCAAUAACUGAAAAGAAAACAGGUUUUCAUAUAUAGUUAGCAGGUGUCCACAUUGUUAUGGUUAUUUAUACAGAAAGAUUUCUUUUUUAACUUUUAAAAUAAAUAUGUACUGGUUACACACACAAAUACAUACCAUAAAUAUCUCUUCCAAACAAUACCCAGAAUAUGGCUACUUAAUAAAAAAACAUAAUAAAAUUCUGUAGCCUACCAGGAAAAUCAUUGAUCACCAUCUUCAUCUUAAUCCUGCACACCAAAACCAUUUUGCCUUUUUCCUAACUGUUGGAAUUGAACAGUCUAACAUUCACUUCCUCUGUCUCUGUUGCUCUCAGUGUCACUUUUGUCUUGAGACAAAUUCACUCUUGCAUCAUGCAGCAAGAGCAUGAAACUCAAUGGUAAAAAUGUAUAAGUCAGCUACAUUGCAGUGUGAAAAAGUGUGUGAAAAAAUAGCUGAAAAACUUCACAAUGUAAGUGUUUCAUAUCAGUCUAUAUUGGUAAUUGUUGAUAUAAUUAUUGAUUAGUUCUUGUUUAAAUAUCUGAAAUACUGCCAAACUGGUGCAUUAAAUAGUAACUUUAACUCUUUAAUGCACAGUUUUCAUUCCACAAUGUUUUUUUUUAUUUCUAAGCAGUUCUGAGUGCAAAACCUGAAACUGCUGCUGUGCAACUUUCUUACCAAGUUGUUGCUAAGUAACCAAAGAGUGAGUAAGUCAGUUGAUGCCACCAACCUUGAUUCACUGGCUAUGCCUACAUCCCCCAGAAUGCUGUGCAGUUCUGGAUAAGAAUUCAGUGCAUAUUCUAUAUGAUGAAUAUUUUAUCAGAUGUGUUUGUGAAUCAGAUGUGAAUAUUGACACUGAUCACGUGUCUAUUGCGUCAUAUAUUAUUGACUUAUUGCUCAAGUAUUUUUCCUUCUCUUCUGAAGUUGUAAAGUCGCAGUAGUUGUUCCUCCCUGCCAGACUCCCUGUGUUUAUUGUACGCUUGUGAAUUACACAUAUGCCAAAUCACCAUGACAUCCUCUGCAGGCGGAGGGUUCACUGUGGACCUUGAAGGGUCUGUACAAAAACAAACAUUACAAAACCAUGUGAGCACAAGCCAGCAGUUUGACUCCAGCCUGACCAUGCUGGGCCUUUUACUUCCUCCAGUGACUGCACCAAGAUGCUGCAUUUAUUUUCCCUCUGAGAUUAUUAAAGUAUUUUUGAAAUGAAUUGACAGUUGUUACUAGUCAAUGAGCAUUCUAGUAGCUAUGUGCAUUUAAAUUGCGAGUUUAGUAAGAACUGUCGCUAAGUAUUGUACAAGGUGGUACAACUAGUAAAAGCGAGACUGUUCUGAUAAUACUGAGAGUGACUAAUCCUCAGCUGUGUGCCUCCAUGUUGCCUUCUCUUCCUGAGUCUUACAAUGAACUGCAGGAACAGUUUGGUGACGCACCACGUGUCACAUGAGAUCAACAACUCAACUGAACUCUGUAGGCAUUAAAUGGAUAUUUCUACAUAUGACUCAGUGUUGGUUUAAGUUUUUCUUAGUUCAUUUUGCAAUAUAAAUGAAGCACAAAGAAUAAGUUAAUGGAAUAUUGAUAAAGGACAGAUUAGAAGAAUGUUUCUCCUACACAUAUUCUAUUAUAUGAUUCUUUCUUCUUCUACAGAUAUAACUGUACAGGAUCCACUGGGACGGAUGCAUCAAAAACAAUCCUUUGACAGAGCAGCUGGUUUAUUGAUGAGCAGGUAAACAUGUGGAAUGACAGCACAGUGUCAUCAGAACAGGAGUUUAGGAAUAUCAAUGAGAUAAAAAAAAGUCCAGGAUGUGAUGAAAAGAAAAUCAGAUAAAGUGA